UCAGGCCAGAACCUGCAGAAAUGCAAUUCCCUAAAGAGGGGCUGGAGAGGUGGAAUUAGAAGUCAAUUAUAGCAGGAACCUAUGAACCGAGAGGAAAGGAUUUGUCCACAUGGUUUUAUGAGCAAUAAAGAAGUUGGAAGGAAAGGAAAAGAAAUUUCAGAGUGCCUCAGGCCCCUGGUGCAUUCUGGAUUGAAAGUGAGAAAAAGAAAAACAGGAAAGUUCCCAUCGUGGUGCAGCAGAAAUGAAUCCAACCAGUAUCCAUGAGGACACGGGUUCAAUCCCUGGCCUCGCUCAGUGGGUUAAGGAUCCGGCGUUGCCGUGAGCUGUGAUGCAGGUUGCAGACGCGGCUUGGAUCUGGCGUGGCUUGUGGCUGUAGUACAGGCCAGCAGCUGCAGCUCUGAUUGGACCCCUAGCCAGGGAAGAUCCAUAUGCCGCAGGGGUGGCCCUAGAAAGCAAAGCAAAAAAAGAAAGGAAGGAAGAAAAAGCAAAAGGAACAUUGGAGAAAGAAAUUCAUGUGUCUUAGUGACAGUGCACCUAGCUCUCCUUAGUUCUGGUGUUUCUUCCAUGAUGCAGAGCUGGGGGCUGACACUGAGAUGUCCCUGGGCCUGCUAGAAGGGCUCGGGUUGGCACCGUGGCUGACAGCAAGAGCUUGGAGCAAAGCUGCUCGUCUCUGAGUCCUGGGUCUGUGCUCCUGGCACAGUGACCCUGGGCUGGGAGGUCACUGGGAGACCAGUGACCUGAGUUGAGACUCAGCAUUUCCUCAUUGAGCACAUGGGGGUGACAGCCACUGAUGCUGGCUAUCAGCUGUGUCAUUCACACCUCUUGGUGCCCUGCUUUUAAAAAAAUUGUUGUUGUUUGUUUUGUUUUGUCAUGCUUUGUUUCUUGGCUGCACCCACGCCAUGCGAAGAUGGCAUGUGGCCACAGCAGUGACAACCCAGGAUCCUUAAUCCUUAGCAGACAUUCUGCUUGUUAGUUCGGAUUUUCCCUCCAUCCUUAUCUCACUAGAUCACAAGUGCCUUAAGGCUGGCACUCGGUUUUGUGCUGAGGAGCACAAGGGGUCAUUGAGUUUGGACCUCCUGUUCUGUUUUCUCUUGGCUCCUUUUUUGGAGGGCAUGGGAAAGGCGGUUGGGUCGGGGUGAAGGAGCCUGCCGUGGGCUCUGGUAUGUGGAUACCGCCAAGUAUGUGAUAAGUGAGAACCCUAAGUACUAGUUCUUCCAGGAAGAUGCGUGAUCCCCACUCUCUUGGAAGAGUAUUUCUGCGAGAAGGACUUUGACUCAUUUUAUUCAUUUAUUCAUUCAUUUCUGAUGAGAUGUUAUGUAACAGAGAACCGUUUAUCAUGAGUUCAGCUUGAUGCAGUUUCAAACUAGACACAGCCCCGUAACCAGCAUCAAGUCACCUAACAUGACCCGCUUCCCAGUCACAGCUUUGAGGUCUCACAGCAUUGAUACUUUCACUUGUUUUUGUCCUUUAUUAAAACAGAAACACAUAGCAUUGAAACUGACAAGGCUUAUGACUUGAACGCAGCCAGAACCCAGACUGGGACUUGAACCCACGUGCCAGGACGCGAACCAAGCCAAAAGCCAGAUUGGGACUUGAACCUCCGGUUUUUAAGUCAGAAUCACUCACCCGGUAUUUGGGCUAAGUUCAGGUUCUUUGUGCCUCAGCGCAGCAGGAACUCAGUGAGAGACAAACUGUGAUCUCCCCAAGUUCCCUGGGCUUCCCUUCUAUCUUUUAUCCUCUGUUGGGGCUUCUCCAACUACCUGUGUAACUAUCCCCUCCAUCCCUACCAGCAGGUGCUUUUUCUGUCUGCCUUUUUUUUUUUUUUUUUUUGGCUCCAUGUUCUCUUUAUGAAAUUCCAUUUUGUUGUUGUUGUUGCAGGCACUUCUACUGUAUUCUCACUGCUGUGUAGAGAGACGAUAUGUGACGUGUUGGGGCUGGCUGGGGACGAUUUCGCUCCCCAGGGGACAUUUUGACAAUAUCCGGAGACAUUUUUGGUUUUCACAGCUUGGCCAGGAGGGGGCAAGGGGUGCUGUGGCAUGUAGAUAGAGAGUAGAGGCCAGGGGUGCUGCUAAACAUCUCACCAGCCACAGGACAGCCCCCACAACCAGGCAUCACCAGCCCCCCGAGACCAGUAGUGCCAAGCGGGAGAAAUUCUGCUGUGCAGCCACUUUGGUGGAUGCUUGGGUCUCUUAGGAAUACGACUGCAGUGAAGGGUGAGCCACGGGUCCUUUGAAAAUACGUGGGAAUGGAAUUGCUGGGUGGGAGGACGUGUCUGUGCUCAGCUGAGCACACAGCGCCAGCCUUCCAGAGUGGUCCUGAUUCAGUAAUGCGAGAGCGUUCCAGUUGCUCUGCCUCUGCACCAUCAUUUUCUCUGACUUGUUUGCAUUUUAAAAAAUUUGGGGAGCUUCCUCAUGGUGCAGCAGGUGAAGGAUUCAGCGUUAUCCCUGCUGUGGCUCUGGUCACUGCCUGACAUGGGUUCGACUCCUGGCCCAGGAACUUCUGCAUGCCAUGGGCAUGGCAAAAAAAAAUAAAUAAAUAAAAAUUUUUUUGUAUUCUUCUCUUCCACCCUUCUCCAUUUCAGCUACGACACACUAGAUACUCAAAACACCACUGUUUGACGGUAAAUAAUCCCAGUCUAUAUUUUGUGAAAGACGGAUUGUGCACAGGUGUGCGUACUGUGUCCAGGUAAUUAGAGAAUGCGUUCAGGGCGGGGUGACUUGCGACUAGGGUUUCUCUUAUUUAAAUAACUCGCACCAGGAGUUCCCAGUGUGGCUCUGUGGGUUAAAAACCCAACUGGUAUCCAUGAGGAUUUGGGUUCCAGCUCUGGCCUCACUCAGUGGUUAGGGUGCUGCUGUGAGCUGCGGUGUGGCUCAUAGAUGCGGCCCGGAUCCUUCAAUUGCUAUGGCUAUGGUGUAGACAGUCAACUGCAGCUCCAAUGUGACCCCUAGCCUGGGAACUUCCCUAUGCCGCAGGGGUGGACCUAGAAAGCAACAACAACAAAAAAACAAAAAUACAAAAAUAAAAAGCACCUUUCUGUAUAACCAUGUCCUUUCAUUCUUAAAAGUACCACUUAGCUUUCCAUAGUGAGUUUUAUUCCAGGGCUGAGAUUAUCCACCACUUGCAUUCAUGUUUAUUAAGUACUUCCAAAUUAUACAGUAAUAUUUAUCUUGAAAUAUUGGCUCUUUUGUUUACAGUAUUUUUCUUUGUCCUAGAAAAAUAGAUCUAGAAGGGUCCCGGAGGGAGAAAAAAAAUCUUAGAAGUUGGUAUCUGAUCCACCACUUCUCAAACUUUGGUCUCGGGACCUUGUUAGAAAUACAGAUGAUUAAAUUCCACCGGGAGUUUCUUGGGAUGGAGGCCCUGAGCUCCAUAUUUUAACAACCCCUUUAGGUAAUGAGAUGUUAAACAAGUGCACACAUGUUACGUCUAAAUUAUCCUUAACCUCAAGCCACAGGCACACCUCGUUUGGCUGAAACCAUGUGUUUUGCCAAAACCAUGAGUUAGCUCUUCUUCCAAGGCUAAGCCAUUCUUUUCCGUAGGUAAAUUCGGUGGUAAGAUUCAUCCUGAGAUGUAAUUGGCUGUGACUUAUUUGGGGGGGUCAUUGAUUUUUUUCCCUUUCUAAGCCCCCCCAGUUUCAAGCUCUUCAUUUCCUAAUGGCCACCUUUCUGCUACCAGAAGAUCACCUCCUGUCUGCGCAGGCUUUGACAUUCACUUAUAGGAAUUUGUGUCCACUGUCUUUUGCAAAUAGCAUCCUUUAGCAUCCAGGAAGUGUCUCCCCAAUGCCUUUGCUCCAUCAGAAGCAGCUCGCUGUGGCUCACACUACCAUAUGCUAUGACCAAGCAUGACCACCUUCUCGAUCUGCCACCCGGGCCUUGAAACUUCUGUGUAUUAAACGUCUUCU
rnacentral:lncRNA from 1 species